UACGUAGGUGGCAAGCGUUGUCCGGAUUUACUGGGCGUAAAGAGCGCGCAGGCGGUCGUUCAAGUCGCGUGUGAAAGCCCCCGGCUCAACUGGGGAGGGUCACGCGAUACUGAUCGACUGGAAGGCAGGAGAGGGUAGUGGAAUUCCCGGUGUAGUGGUGAAAUGCGCAGAUAUCAGGAAGAACACCCGUGGCGAAGGCGGCUCUCUGGGACGGUACUGACGCUGAGACGCGAAAGCGUGGGGAGCGAACAGG
rnacentral:rRNA from 1 species